rnacentral:rRNA from 1 species
UACGAGGGGGGCAAGCGUUGUUCGGAAUUAUUGGGCGUAAGGAGCUCGUAGGCGGUCUGUCGCGUCGGCUGUGAAAUCCCGGAGCUCAACUCCGGGCCUGCAGUCGAUACGGGCAGACUGGAGUUCGGCAGGGGAGACUGGAAUUCCUGGUGUAGCGGUGAAAUGCGCAGAUAUCAGGAGGAACACCGGUGGCGAAGGCGGGUCUCUGGGCCGAUACUGACGCUGAGGAGCGAAAGCGUGGGGAGCGAACAGG